CUUACACAUGCAAGUCGAACGGUAACAGGCGAGAGCUUGCUCUUGCGCUGACGAGUGGCGGACGGGUGGGUAAUGCGUAGGAAUCUGCCCUGCAGCGGGGGAUAGCCCGGGGAAACCCGGAUUAAUACCGCAUACGCUCUACGGAGGAAAGUGGGCCUCUUCAUGAAAGCUCACACUGCAGGAUGAGCCUACGUCCGAUUAGCUUGUUGGUGGGGUAAAAGCCUACCAAGGCGACGAUCGGUAGCUGGUCUGAGAGGAUGAUCAGCCACACCGGGACUGAGACACGGCCCGGACUCCUACGGGAGGCAGCAGUGGGGAAUAUUGGACAAUGGGCGAAAGCCUGAUCCAGCAAUGCCGCGUGUGUGAAGAAGGCCUGCGGGUUGUAGAGCACUUUUAUCAGGGAAGAAACGGCCUGGCCUAAUACGUCAUGGCAAUUGACGGUACCUGAAGAAUAAGCACCGGCUAACUCCGUGCCAGCAGCCGCGGUAAUACGGAGGGUGCAAGCGUUAAUCGGAAUUACUGGGCGUAAAGCGUGCGCAGGCGGCUGCCUAAGUCGGAUGUGAAAGCCCCGGGCUUAAGCUGGGAAUUGCAUUCGAUACUGGGUAGCUAGAGUUUGGUAGAGGUAAGUGGAAUUCCGGGUGUAGCGGUGAAAUGCGUAGAUAUCCGGAGGAACAUCAGUGGCGAAGGCGGCUUACUGGACCAAAACUGACGCUCAGGCACGAAAGCGUGGGUAGCAAACAGGAUUAGAUACCCUGGUAGUCCA
rnacentral:rRNA from 1 species